rfam:Callipepla squamata strain Texas jcf7180005211753, whole genome shotgun sequence.
AUACUUACCUGGCAGGGGAGACACCAUGAUCAGGCAGGUGGUUUUCCCAGGGCGAGGCUCAUCCCCUGCACUCUGGGUUUGCUGACCCCUGCGAUUUCCCCAAAUGCGGGAAACUCGACUGCAUAAUUUGUGGUAGUGGGGGACUGCGUCAGCGCUCUCCCCUG